GGGAUACUCCGGGAACCGGAGCUAAUACCGGAUAGUUCCUUGAACCGCAUGGUUCAAGGAUGAAAGACGGUUUCGGCUGUCACUUACAGAUGGACCCGCGGCGCAUUAGCUAGUUGGUGAGGUAACGGCUCACCAAGGCGACGAUGCGUAGCCGACCUGAGAGGGUGAUCGGCCACACUGGGACUGAGACACGGCCCAGACUCCUACGGGAGGCAGCAGUAGGGAAUCUUCCGCAAUGGACGAAAGUCUGACGGAGCAACGCCGCGUGAGUGAUGAAGGUUUUCGGAUCGUAAAGCUCUGUUGUUAGGGAAGAACAAGUGCAAGAGUAACUGCUUGCACCUUGACGGUACCUAACCAGAAAGCCACGGCUAACUACGUGCCAGCAGCCGCGGUAAUACGUAGGUGGCAAGCGUUGUCCGGAAUUAUUGGGCGUAAAGGGCUCGCAGGCGGUUUCUUAAGUCUGAUGUGAAAGCCCCCGGCUCAACCGGGGAGGGUCAUUGGAAACUGGGAAACUUGAGUGCAGAAGAGGAGAGUGGAAUUCCACGUGUAGCGGUGAAAUGCGUANAGAUGUGGAGGAACACCAGUGGCGAAGGCGACUCUCUGGUCUGUAACUGACGCUGAGGAGCGAAAGCGUGGGGAGCGAACAGGAUUAGAUACCCUGGUAGUCCACGCCGUAAACGAUGAGUGCUAAGUGUUAGGGGGUUUCCGCCCCUUAGUGCUGCAGCUAACGCAUUAAGCACUCCGCCUGGGGAGUACGGUCGCAAGACUGAAACUCAAAGGAAUUGACGGGGGCCCGCACAAGCGGUGGAGCAUGUGGUUUAAUUCGAAGCAACGCGAAGAACCUUACCAGGUCUUGACAUCCUCUGACAACCCUAGAGAUAGGGCUUUCCCUUCGGGGACAGAGUGACAGGUGGUGCAUGGUUGUCGUCAGCUCGUGUCGUGAGAUGUUGGGUUAAGUCCCGCAACGAGCGCAACCCUUGAUCUUAGUUGCCAGCAUUCAGUUGGGCACUCUAAGGUGACUGCCGGUGACAAACCGGAGGAAGGUGGGGAUGACGUCAAAUCAUCAUGCCCCUUAUGACCUGGGCUACACACGUGCUACAAUGGACAGAACAAAGGGCUGCGAGACCGCAAGGUUUAGCCAAUCCCACAAAUCUGUUCUCAGUUCGGAUCGCAGUCUGCAACUCGACUGCGUGAAGCUGGAAUCGCUAGUAAUCGCGGAUCAGCAUGCCGCGGUGAAUACGUCCC
rnacentral:rRNA from 1 species